rnacentral:rRNA from 1 species
GACGAACGCUGGCGGCGUGCUUAACACAUGCAAGUCGAACGGAAAGGCCCUGCUUUUGUGGGGUGCUCGAGUGGCGAACGGGUGAGUAACACGUGAGUAACCUGCCCUUGACUUUGGGAUAACUUCAGGAAACUGGGGCUAAUACCGGAUAGGAGCUCCUGCUGCACGGUGGGGGUUGGAAAGUUUCGGCGGUUGGGGAUGGACUCGCGGCUUAUCAGCUUGUUGGUGGGGUAGUGGCUUACGAAGGCUUUGACGGGUAGCCGGCCUGAGAGGGUGACCGGCCACAUUGGGACUGAGAUACGGCCCAGACUCCUACGGGAGGCAGCAGUGGGGAAUAUUGCACAAUGGGCGGAAGCCUGAUGCGGCAACGCCGCGUGCGGGAUGACGGCCUUCGGGUUGUAAACCGCUUUCGCCUGUGACGAAGCGUGAGUGACGGUAAUGGGUAAAGAAGCACCGGCUAACUACGUG